rnacentral:rRNA from 1 species
ACGGGGGGUGCAAGCGUUGUUCGGAAUCAUUGGGCGUAAAGCGCGCGCAGGCGGCUUGGUAAGUCAGAUGUGAAAGCCCUGGGCUUAACCCAGGAAGUGCAUUUGAUACUGCCUCACUAGAGUACGGGAGAGGAAAGCGGAAUUCCUGGUGUAGAGGUGACAUCUGUAGAUAUCGGGAGGAGCACCAGUGGCGAAAGCGGCAUUCUGGACCAAUCCUGACGCUAAGCUGCGAAAGCUCUGGGAGGAAAAAG